GAUGAAGAACGCAGCAAAAUGCCAUACUUGGUGUGAAUUGCAGAAUCCCGUGAACCAUCGAGUUUUUGAACGCAAGUUGCGCCCGAAGCCUUUUGGCCGAGGGCACGUCUGCCUGGGCGUCACGCAUCGCGUCGCCCCCCACAAUUCUCCGUAAAGGGAACAUGUGUUUUGGGGGCGGAUAUUGGUCUCCCGUGCUCAUGGCGUGGUUGGCCGAAAUAGGAGUCCUUUCGAUGGACGCACGAACUAGUGGUGGUCGUAAAAACCCUCGUCUUUUGUUUCGUGCUGUUGCUCGCAAGGUAAACUCUUUAAAAACCCCAAUGUGUCGUCUCUUGACGACGCUUCGACCGCGACCCCAGGUCAGGCGGGACUACCCGCUGAGUUUAAGCAUAUCAAUAAGCGGAGGA
rnacentral:misc_RNA from 1 species